UCAGGACGAACGCCGGCGGCGUGCUUAACACAUGCAAGUCAAGGACCGUAGCAAUACGGGACUGGCGCACGGGUGCGGAACACGUAGGCAAUCUACCCUCAGGGGGAAAACAACCCGUUGAAAGACGGGCUAAAUUUCCGUAACAUCACAUGGUGGCAUCACCGAGUGAUCAAACUUUCCAGAGGAUGAGCCUGCGUCUGAUUAGUUAGUUGGCGGGGUAACGGCCCACCAAGACUACGAUCAGUAGCUGGUCUGAGAGGAUGAUCAGCCACAUUGGGACUGAGAUACGGCCCAGACUCCUACGGGAGGCAGCAGUGAGGAAUAUUGCUCAAUGGGGGAAACCCUGAAGCAGCAACGCCGCGUGAGGGAUGAAGGGGCUUUGCCUCGUAAACCUCUGUAGUCGGGGACAAAUGUAGGGUUACUACCCUAUUGAUGGUACCCGAAAAGUAAGGAUCGGCUAACUACGUGCCAGCAGCCGCGGUAAUACGUAGGAUCCGAGCGUUGUCCGGAUUUACUGGGUGUAAAGGGUGCGCAGGCGGAGUGGUAAGUCAGAGGUGAAAUCUCGUCGCUCAACGACGAAACUGCCUUUGAUACUAUCAUUCUUGAGUUCGGUAGAGAUCUGUGGAAUUCCGAGUGUAGCAGUGAAAUGUGUAGAUAUUCGGAAGAACACCAGUGGCGAAGGCAGCAGAUUGGGCCGAUACUGACGCUCAGGCACGAAAGCAUGGGGAUCAAACAGGAUUAGAUACCCUGGUAGUCCAUGCCCUAAACGAUGUACACUUGAUAUCUGCCCUCAGGGUAGGUGUCGGAGCUAACGCGUUAAGUGUACCACCUGGGGAGUACGCUCGCAAGGGUGAAACUCAAAU
rnacentral:rRNA from 1 species